rnacentral:rRNA from 1 species
GAACGAAGUUUUGUGGCACGGAGCACUUGUUUAAUUAAAAAAUGCACGAAGAUUAGCGACAAUUAUUGUGCAAAAUGUCAACAAGAACAAAUAAUUGAAAUAAAAUUUGUGCAAGUUGACGAAGCGAACAAAAUUUUAUGAAGAAAUUUGUUUACAGUUGGUAAAAAUUCACAAAAGGCGUAAAAGUAUUUUGUGAAAAUCGCCAAAAAAAUAUUUAAUUAAACGAAUGUUGCGUGCUAUAAAACUUAGUGGCGGACGGGUGAGUAACACGUGAGCAACCUGCCUUUAAGAGGGGGACAACAGCUGGAAACGGCUGCUAAUACCGCAUAAGACUACGGUCUGGCAUCGGACAGUAGUAAAAGGAGUAAUCCACUUAAAGAUGGGCUCGCGCCUGAUUAGAUAGUUGGUGGGGUAAUGGCCUACCAAGUCGACGAUCAGUAGCCGUACUGAGAGGUAGAACGGCCACAUUGGGACUGAGACACGGCCCAGACUCCUACGGGAGGCAGCAGUGGGGAAUAUUGUGCAAUGGGGGAAACCCUGACACAGCGACGCCGCGUGAGUGAAGAAGAUUUUCGGAUUGUAAAACUCUGUUGACGGGGAAGAAAUUGACUGUACCCGUUUAGAAAGCCACGGCUAACUACGUGCCAGCAGCCGCGGUAAUACGUAGGUGGCAAGCGUUGUCCGGAAUUACUGGGUGUAAAGGGAGUGUAGGCGGGUUUAUAAGCCAGAUGUGAAAUACCAACGCUCAACGUUGGCACUGCAUUUGGAACUGUAGAUCUUGAGUGAAGUAGGGGUAAGCAGAAUUCCUGGUGUAGCGGUAAAAUGCGUAGAUAUCAGGAGGAACACCGGCGGCGAAGGCGGCUUACUGGGCUUUUACUGACGCUGAGGCUCGAGAGCGUGGGGAGCAAACAGGAUUAGAUACCCUGGUAGUCCACGCCGUAAACGAUGAUUACUAGGUGUGGGGGGAUUAACCCCUUCCGCGCCGCAGCUAACGCAAUAAGUAAUCCACCUGGGGAGUACGACCGCAAGGUUGAAACUCAAAGGAAUUGACGGGGACCCGCACAAGCAGUGGAGUAUGUGGUUUAAUUCGAAGCAACGCGAAGAACCUUACCAGGUCUUGACAUUGAUGGAAUCCGCAGAGAUGUGGAGUGCCUUCGGGAGCCAGAAAACAGGUGGUGCAUGGUUGUUGUCAGCUCGUGUCGUGAGAUGUUGGGUUAAGUCCCGCAACGAGCGCAACCCUUAUCAUUAGUUGCUACAUUUAGUUGAGCACUCUAAUGAGACUGCCGUUGAUAAAACGGAGGAAGGUGGGGAUGACGUCAAAUCAUCAUGCCCUUUAUGACCUGGGCAACACACGUACUACAAUGGCAGUAACAACGAGCAGCAAGCCGGCGACGGCAAGCGAAUCUCUAAAAAACUGUCUCAGUUCAGACUGCAGGCUGCAACUCGCCUGCACGAAGUUGGAAUUGCUAGUAAUCGCGAAUCAGCAUGUCGCGGUGAAUACGUUCCCGGGU